rfam:Hyphomicrobium sp. SCN 65-11 ABS54_C0024, whole genome shotgun sequence.
CUUUCUACUCGUGGUGAUUUGGCCGGCCGGCUUGCAGCCACGUUAAACAACUCGCUAAAGAGGCCGCGCGCAUCCGGAC